rnacentral:rRNA from 1 species
UAAACGCUGGCCGCAUGCUUAACACAUGCAAGUUGAGCGGAUGUAAUUGUGAAGUUUUGGCUCGGGGCAACCUGAGACGAAGCGGAGCAAUUAUGUUAGCAGCAGACGGGUGAGUAAUACGUGGGAAACCUGCCCUCAAAAGGAGCACAACCCUGGGAAACCGGGGCUAAUUCUCCAUAAUGUUCAAAAGACACAGGUCUUCUGAAUUAAAGGUCGCCUCUGGCGGUCGUUUGAGGAUGGUCUCACGGCCUAUCAUGGUAGUUGGCGGGGUAAUAGCCCACCAAGCCGACGACGGGUAGCCG